AGUCGCUAGGGGAGCGUUUGCUGAGAUUGGAUAUGGACGGAAUUUUCGCUCCAUAUACUAACCCUCAUUACCUGAACCGGAUAAUACCGGCGUAGGGAAGCAGAUUUU
rnacentral:ncRNA from 1 species